rnacentral:rRNA from 1 species
CCUACGGGUGGCAGCAGUCGGGAAUCUUGCUCAAUGGGGGAAACCCUGAAGCAGCGACGCCGCGUGGGGGAUUGAGGUUUUCGGAUUGUAAACUCCUUUUGUUAGGGAAGAUAAUGACGGUAUCUAACGAAUAAGCACCGGCUAACUCCGUACCAGCAGCCGCGGUAAUACGGAGGGUGCAAGCGUUACUCGGAAUCACUGGGCGUAAAGAUCGCGUGUGCGGGGUAGCAAGUCAGAUGUGAAAUCCUCUGGCUUAACCAUAGAACUGCAUUUGAACCUGUUAUUCUAGAGUAUUGGAGAGGUAGGCGGAAUUCUUGGUGUAGGGGUAAAAUCCGUAGAGAUCAAGAGGAAUACUCAUGGCGAAGGCGAGCUGCUAGAACAUAACUGACGCUGAGGCGCGAAAGCGUGGGGAGCAAACAGGAUUAGAUACCCGUGUAGUC